rnacentral:rRNA from 1 species
AUUGAACGCUGGCGGCAUGCCUUACACAUGCAAGUCGAACGGCAGCACGGGAGCAAUCCUGGUGGCGAGUGGCGAACGGGUGAGUAAAGUAUCGGAACGUGCCCAGUCGUGGGGGAUAACGUAGCGAAAGUUACGCUAAUACCGCAUACGAUCUAUGGAUGAAAGCGGGGGAUCGCAAGACCUCGCGCGAUUGGAGCGGCCGAUAUCAGAUUAGGUAGUUGGUGGGGUAAAGGCUCACCAAGCCGACGAUCUGUAGCCGGUCUGAGAGGACGACCAGCCACACUGGGACUGAGACACGGCCCAGACUCCUACGGGAGGCAGCAGUGGGGAAUUUUGGACAAUGGGCGCAAGCCUGAUCCAGCCAUGCCGCGUGCAGGAUGAAGGCCUUCGGGUUGUAAACUGCUUUUGUACGGAACGAAAAGGUUUGGCUUAAUACGUCGAACUCAUGACGGUACCGUAAGAAUAAGCACCGGCUAACUACGUGCCAGCAGCCACGGUAA